AUACGGAGGGUCCAAGCGUUAUCCGGAAUCAUUGGGUUUAAAGGGUCCGCAGGCGGUCAAUUAAGUCAGAGGUGAAAGCCCAUCGCUCAACGAUGGAACUGCCUUUGGUACUGGUUGACUUGAGUUAUACGGAAGUAGAUAGAAUAAGUAGUGUAGCGGUGAAAUGCAUAGAUAUUACUUAGAAUACCGAUUGCGAAGGCAGUCUACUACGUAUAUACUGACGCUGAGGGACGAAAGCGUGGGGAGCGAACAGGAUUAGAAACCCGGGUAGUCC
rnacentral:rRNA from 1 species